rnacentral:rRNA from 1 species
AACGCUAGCUACAGGCUUAACACAUGCAAGUCGAGGGGAAACGACAUCGAAAGCUUGCUUUUGAUGGGCGUCGACCGGCGCACGGGUGAGUAACGCGUAUCCAACCUGCCCACCACUUGGGGAUAACCUUGCGAAAGUAAGACUAAUACCCAAUGAUAUCUCUAGAAGACAUCUGAAAGAGAUUAAAGAUUUAUCGGUGAUGGAUGGGGAUGCGUCUGAUUAGCUUGUUGGCGGGGUAACGGCCCACCAAGGCAACGAUCAGUAGGGGUUCUGAGAGGAAGGUCCCCCACAUUGGAACUGAGACACGGUCCAAACUCCUACGGGAGGCAGCAGUGAGGAAUAUUGGUCAGUGGACGAGAGUCUGAACCAGCCAAGUAGCGUGCAGGAAGACGGCCCUAUGGGUUGUAAACUGCUUUUAUAAGGGAAUAAAGUGAGUCUCGUGAGACUUUUUGCAUGUACCUUAUGAAUAAGGACCGGCUAAUUCCGUGCCAGCAGCCGCGGUAAUACGGAAGGUCCGGGCGUUAUCCGGAUUUAUUGGGUUUAAAGGGAGCGUAGGCCGGAGAUUAAGCGUGUUGUGAAAUGUAGAUGCUCAACAUCUGAACUGCAGCGCGAACUGGUUUCCUUGAGUACGCACAAAGUGGGCGGAAUUCGUGGUGUAGCGGUGAAAUGCUUAGAUAUCACGAAGAACUCCGAUUG